GCCUCCAUAGCUUAAUCGGAAGAGCGCCAGACUUUUACGACAUUGUCGAAAUCUGGAGGUCGCCAGUUCGAGCCUGGCUGGAGGCG